rnacentral:pre_miRNA from 1 species
AACAUUCAACGCUGUCGGUGAGUUUGUGCUUUUCAGAUUAAACCAUCGAUCGUUGUCUGUACC